rnacentral:ncRNA from 1 species
AAUAGGCUUGGUCCUGGCCUUUCUAUUGACUCCUAGCAAGAUUACACAUGCAAGCAUCUCCGCCCCGGUGAAGACGCCCCCCCCAAUCAACAUGACCAAGAGGAGCAAGUAUCAAGCACGCACACGCAGCUCAAAACACUUUGCCUAGCCACACCCCCACGGGAGACAGCAGUGACAAACCUUUAGCAAUGAACGAAAGUUUAACUAAGCUAUGCUAUACUAAGGGUUGGCCCAUUUCGUGCCAGCCGCCGCGGUUAUACGAUUAACCCCAGCCAAUAGAGACCGGCGUAGAGGGUGUUUUAGAUCUAAUCCAAUAAAGCUAAACCCCAUCUAAACUGUAAAACUCUAGCUGACGUAAAACAAACUACGAAGGUGGCUUUAUAAUUUCUGAACACACAAUAGCCAGGACCCAAACUGGGAUUAGACACCCCACUAUGCCUGGCCUUAAACCUCAAUAGUUAAAACAACAAAACUAUUCGCCAGAAUACUACAAGCAACAGCUUAAAACUCAAAGGACUUGGCGGUGCUUCAUACCCCCUAGAGGAGCCUGUUUCAUAAUCGAUAAACCCCGAUCCACCCCACCCUCUCUUGCCCAGUCUAUAUACCGCCAUCUUCAGCAAACCCUGACAAAGGCUACGAAGUGAGCGCAAAUGCCCUUACCCGCAAAAACGUUAGGUCAAGGUGUAACCCAUGAGACGGUAAAAAAUGGGCUACAUUUUCUACCUCAGAAAACCCCACGAUAGCUCUUAUGAAAUCUAAGAGUCCAAGGAGGAUUUAGCAGUAAAUUAAGAAUAGAGUGCUUAAUUGAACUAGGCCAUAAAGCACGCACACACCGCCCGUCGCUCCCCUCAAAUAUAUUUAAGGAAUAUUUUAACUAAACGCCCUAACAUCUAUAUAGAGGGGAUAAGUCGUAACACGGUAAGUGUACUGGAAGGUGCACUUGGAUAAAU